ACAAAACCAAAAGAAGGGCUCAAUUUGCAGUGCUGUUCAACAGAUUGCUCAAAUAAGGCGUCUAAUACAAAUGUAAACCACUUAGGACAAAGCUUCUACAUAACAUAGUUACUGUAAACACUGCCGCUCCAGCUGAUAAUUCUUAUCAUGCAAAAGAAGCUCAGGAUAAAAUCAGUAACAUUGGUAAACUGACGAAUCUCUUCACUCUCCGGGUGCAGAAACCCCCUGCUUCAGCUUUUCCCUCUUCAGCUUCUUCUUGGAGACUGGCUUCUUCUUCCGAGGAGGAAGCGUCUUCUGAGCAUACAUGUAGAGCGCAUAGUUUCCAACAAAGAAAAGAAUCAGGAGAGUUGCAACCACAAGAAGGACUAUCGUUCCAGGGUUCAGGCCCUUGUUGACCUCCUCGAUGAUCAUGUUGUUC
rnacentral:sRNA from 1 species